rnacentral:rRNA from 1 species
GACGAACGCUGGCGGCGUGCUUAACACAUGCAAGUCGAACGGAAAGGCCCUGCUUGCAGGGUACUCGAGUGGCGAACGGGUGAGUAACACGUGGGUGAUCUGCCCUGCACUUCGGGAUAAGCCUGGGAAACGGGGUCUAAUACCGGAUAGGAGCCAUUUUUAGUGUGAUGGUUGGAAAGUUUUUUCGGUGUAGGAUGAGCUCGCGGCCUAUCAGCUUGUUGGUGGGGUAAUGGCCUACCAAGGCGGCGACGGGUAGCCGGCCUGAGAGGGUGGACGGCCACAUUGGGACUGAGAUGCGGCCCAGACUCCUACGGGAGGCAGCAGUGGGGAAUAUUGAACAAUGGGCGCAAGGCUGAUGCAGCGACGCCGCGGGGGGGAUGACGGCCUUCGGGUUGUAAACGCCUUUCGCUAGGGACGAAGCUUUUUGUGACGGUACCUAGAGAAGAAGCACCGGCUAACUACGUG